ensembl:lncRNA
GCAGGGCGCCGCCGUAGCCGCCCAGCUCGCCCAGCGAGCCGUUGAGCAGGGCGCCGCCGUAGCCGCCGUAGUCGCCCAGCGAGCCGUUGAGCAGGGCGCCGCCGUAGUCGCCCAGCGUGGCGCCGAUGGGAACGCCGUCGUUAUGCGCAUGUUCAACAGCUUUCAGGUAGGCAGCUGAUGCCUUAACCUCCACUUCGUUAGUUUCCAGUUGGACUAAAAGGGAAGACAUUCAAUCAAUGAAGUCAAAAUACCAAAAUCCAGACAAAGCCUCAAUGAAAUAUGGACCUCAAGAACCUGAGCCGUACACAAACAUGAAUCAAAUAGGGUUAAGCAGAACUGUCUUACCUUCUUUUGACUUCCGCAGGAACACAGACUCAGACUGCGUAAGAGCCUUCUUUAUGGAGGGCUCAUUAGGAGACAGCUCUAUUUGUAAUAAAAUAAUGUCAGUGUCAAGUAGAAGCUAAUCAAAUAUUUAGUCACCCAAUAUUCUUACCUCUCAUUGCCCUUUGCGGCCCAUUACCAUUCACAUUUGUGCCACCAACUGGCCAACCAGAGCCUAUGAAUAGAGCAGUUGCAUAUAAUCAAAGGUUUCUUCGUCAUCAUUACAUUUACUAUACUCCAAUGCAGAUCCAUUGAAUAGAUGUUUCCAAAACAGACAGAAAUACCUUUGGUGAACCAGACAGUCAGCACAAAAACAAGCAAGGCCCAAAACGCUCCCAUUACUUCAGCCACCAACAGAAAAUACGAUCUGAGCCACACGGCAGGUUUCAUAUACCCAUCCUGCAGGUGUCACAGGUGUUGCUGAUCAGCUAUAAUCAGCUCUUCAGGAAUCAGUGCUUGUUAAUGCUACCUCGACUAAAGACUAACAAAUUGUAGCACUUAAAUUGUACUUGUAACAUUACUCAUCUAUAGCAAAUUGUAAAUUGGCUUAUUUGAGGAAAUUGCACUUUCUUGUUUCUUGUUCUUCUGAGUUUGUACCCCUAUGGUUGAAUGCACUUACUGUAAGUCGCUUUGGAUAAAAGUGUCAGCUAAAUGACAUGUAAUGUAAUGUUAAGAUGCAGCCCUUCUUUUGACCAACGUUUGACAAUCUAUCUCUAUCAGAAAACCCAUAAAAAUUGUGGCAUUUAUCAGUUUUAUGACUUGAAGAUUAAGACAUGGGGAAAACAGAAAAGCUCAGGACAUAUAUAGCUUUUGCAUUUGUUAUUUUUUCCAUUGUUUAGAUAUGUAUCAACUGUAAAAAUGUAUUUCAACAUUAUAUCGGAUGGCAUCUAUGUAUAUGGUAAAUGGACUGUGCUUGUAUAGCGCUUUUCUAGUCUUCUGACCACUCAAAGCGCUUUAACACUACAUGACGUCAUUCACCCAUUCACACCCAUUCAUACACUGAUGACAGGAGAACCAUACACAGUGACACCUGCCCAUCAGUAACUACCAUUCACACACUGUAGUCGCAGCUACAGGAGCAACGUUGGGUUAAGUUUCUUGCCCAAGGACACAACGACAUGCAGGUUAGCAGAGCCUGGGAUCGAACCGACAACCCCCUCUAAUUGGAGGACGACCGUGCUCCCCACUCACCCACAGACGCCUCAAAUGAUAUAUAGUUCUUCCUAAUAUAAUA